rnacentral:lncRNA from 1 species
UGAGCCCAUUGCAGAGAGUAGUUCCUCAGUGGUGACGGAGUUGGUGGGCCUGAUGCUGAACCCGGAGGCCGAGCCGGAGCCAGAGGUCGAGGUGGAGCCAGAAUUCAAGGUGGAGGUGGCGGCCACUGGCGUAGUUGUGGCUGCACAUGUAGCCCCAGAGCCACAAGCUGACGUGGAGGCUGCUAGGGCGCUGCAUGUGCUGGAAAUUAUCCCACCAUCCGAGGCGAGGCCGUUUGAUAGUCAUGGGGUGACCUCCUCCUUUCCUUCAGAAGCUGGUUCAUCG